CCUACGGGUGGCAGCAGGGAGGAAUAUUGGGCAAUGGGCGGAAGCCGGAACCAGCCAAGUAGCGUGCAGGAUGACGGCCCUACGGGUUGUAAACUGCUUUUAUACGGGAAUAACGCGCCUUACGUGUAGGGCUUUGCAUGUACCGUAUGAAUAAGGACCGGCUAAUUCCGUGCCAGCAGCCGCGGUAAUACGGAAGGUCCGGGCGUUAUGCGGAUUUAUUGGGUUUAAAGGGAGCGUAGGCCGCAUGUCAAGCGUGCUGUGAAAUUUCCGGGCUCAACCCGGGCCUUGCAGCGCGAACUGGCGUGCUUGAGUCCGCGGCAAGCAGGCGGAAUUCGUCGUGUAGCGGUGAAAUGCUUAGAUAUGACGAAGAACCCCGAUUGCGAAGGCAGCUUGCUGCAGCGGAACUGCCGCUGAUGCUCGAAAGCGCGGGUAUCGAACAGGAUUAGAUACCCGUGUAGUC
rnacentral:rRNA from 1 species